ACUUUUAUAUUUAAUGUAGUUAUGGUACAGUAAUGCUGAUAAAUUUAACAGAAAUAAUAUUGGCUUUGAAGUAACUUUUAAUACUUGAAGUUAACCACUGGUAUAUAUAAUUAUCUGGGAACUAAACAGCAAAUUCACAUUUCUUAAGAGAUUUUAUGACCCCUCCACUCUACCAUUUUUUCAAAAUGACUUUAUCAGCAUUAAAACCUAUCAUAAACAUCAAAUGGUUCACUCUAGCAAAAAUGGUCCCAAAAUAUUUACAUAUUUUUAUUUCCAGUAAAACCAGUAUAUAUUUGAGAUGAACUCGAUUAUUCUUUCAUAUUUUACAGAUGAGGCCUAUAAAGCCUAUAUGAUCUAUUCACAGCAAUAAUUCAGUGCAAGAGCUUCCAUCAGAAUUCCAAUGAUAAAAGUACUUCCAUACAUAAAAUAAAGAGGCAAUCAAUGACCUGUAAUGUCCCUUACAACCUUACAACAACUAGGAUUAUGAAUAUUGGCUCAAAUGGGAUCUGGAAUUUUUUUACUUGCAUUGAACCUAUAUUCUUCUAAAAUAUUAAAUAUUGUUAUUGAUAUUCUUUAUUAUAUAAUUAUAACCACUAUAUAACACAUUCAUAUCAUAUAAUAAAUAUUACCUAUUAAAUAUUCAACUAGCAAAAUAGAUGUGGGAAGUUAGGAAGGAGGGCCUUCAGGAGACACUGUGAAUAAAAGGAAUGAAGAAAUUGUGUACAAAUUAUUGGACUACAAGCAAAUCAUUAUUGAGGUAAGCACAGAAUGCAGGUAAUAGUAAAUGAACAUACAAGCAUAGGUGGCAUGACCGUAUAAAAGCCUUUGAUGCCUCCCUUAACAGACUUUUAAAACAGAUGGCGAUAUCAUCAUCAAAUGGAUAUCAUUAUAGUUAGGUCAUACUGCAGGUAUAGAUGUAUGUAACACAAAAAAAUUAGAAUGCCUAAUAUGUUCCAGGGAGUGCUGUGGACACUGAGACUCCAUCAGUGAUUACACUUGUAGUCCCUACUCCUGUGGCACUCAGAAUCCAGUGGGGAGUAGAGGAAAGGAGGAUGAAAAACAAAUAUUUUGUUGUAACAAACAAAAGUGAUGGGAAUAAAUAAGGUGGGGUAAGAGAAAGAGAGUAACUUUGCGUAUGUUAGAUCCUCUGUUGUUUUGGCGAUGCAUAAAUGAUGUAAUAUGCUCUCAAGAAGUUCAGUUUAGUAUGGCUGAAUUAUAAUUGCUAUUAAAUGCUAUGACAAGAGUUAUAUAUUCAGUGCUAUGGGAUCCAACUGAAUGGAGUCAACAUGACUAAGAGAGGUUUAACAAAGCUGAGAAAAUGGCAGGCCAAGUGGGAAGGAUGAAUAAAAGCUGCAGAAAAAGAGGGGGAGCAUUCUAGAUUGAGGAGACAAUGUGAAUCAACUGACAGGUUGUAAAUGUUUAACUGGCAAGUGGAAAAUAGGUUCAAAGUAUUAUCAGGUAAGGCUCACAGAAUAAUAGGUGAUAGGAUACAAAAUUGUGCAAGUGGGUUGUAGCUCAUUAAUGAAAGUGAACGUCAAUAAUCAAAAAUCUUAUUUAAAAAAUAGUUAUUUGAAAGUCAGUUAUAGAGGUAGACAGAUCUUCCAUCCACUGGUUCACUCCCCAGAUGGCCACAAUGGCCAUGGCUGAGCCAAGCUGAAGCUGGGAGCCAGGAGCUUCAUCUGGGUCUCCCACGUGGGUAGCAGGGCCAACACUUGGACCAUCUUCUGCUGAUUUUCCCAGGCCAUUAGCAGCUAGCUGGAUCAGAAGUGGAGCAGCUGGGACUUCAGCCAGCUCCCAUAUGGGAUGCUGGUAUUGCAGGCAAUGUGUGUGUGUGUGUGUGUGUGUGUGUGUUUGACAGGCAGAGUGGACAGUGAGAGAGAGAGAGAGAGAGAGAGAAAGGUCUUCCUUUGCCGUUAGUUCACCCUCCAAUGGCCGCUGUAGUUGGUGCGCUGCAGCCGGCACACCGCGCUGAUCCGAUGGCAGGAGCCAGGUGCUUCUCCUGGUCUCCCAUGGGGUGCAGGGCCCAAGCACUUGGGCCAUCCUCCACUGCACUCCCUGGCCACAGCAGAGAGCUGGACUGGAAGAGGGGCAACCGGGACAGAAUCUGGCGCCCCGACCAGGACUAGAACCCGGUGUGCUGGCGCCGCAAGGCAGAGGAUUAGCCUAGUGAGCCGUGGCACCGACCAGGCAAUGGUUUUAUCUGCUAUGCCACAAUGGUAGCUCCAAUAAUCAAGAUUUUAAUAAAUAAAUUAAUUUUUCAUGUUUAUGAUAGACUUGUUUAUGAAAGAAUUCUGGGAUCUUGGUAGAUGAAAUGGAACACAAACAUGAAGAAAAACAGACUGGCUAUGGAAAGGUGGUUUCUUAGGAGCCUGAUGUUACUUCAAGAUUACCAGGGAAACUAGAUGAUGCUAGAGAAAUCAGAUCUAGAGAAACGGGGUGAACAAAUUGUUUUGGAUAUGUGAAAUGUAAGCUGUAUUUGGAUAAGGUUAAGGAAAGGUGGUCUGAAACAGGUCCAGAACUCAGGAGGGCAGGAGCUAUAGAUUGUAACUUUUAUGGACAAUACCUGAAAGGAGUAAAGUGCUUUACAAAGAGUGUACAGGUGAGUAAUAAAACCCUGGAGGGGGCAGGUGCUGUGGCAUAGUAGACUAAGCCUCCGCCUGUGGUGCCAACAUUCCUAUGAGUACCAGUUCGAGUCCUGGUUGCUACUCUUCUGAUCCAGCUCUCUGCUGUGGCCUGGGAAAGCGGUGAAAGAUGGCCCAGGUGCCUGGGCUCCUGCACCCAUGUGGGAGACCUGGAGGAGGCUCAGCUCCAGCCGCUUUCAUCUGGGGAGUGAAUCAGUGUAUGGAAGACCUUUCUGUCUCUCCCUGUAACUCUACCUUUUAAAGAAAUAAAAACCCUGGAGUUUGAGUGUUGGGGUAAAUGUGUUACAGAAGGUAAAAUUCAAUCAACAUUUCAUUUGCUUCCUUUUUUUUUUUUUUUUUUUGGCUAAAGGUAAAGGUAAAGUCUCAUAGCAGUCAUACCUAUCCCUACAAAAUAUGUAGGUUAAGAAUAAAGUAAAUAAGGUAGAUAAGUGAAUUCUUCCCCUCAGAAACCUUUUAUUUAAGGAAUACAGACUUCAUGCUUUUCAUAAAUACAACUUUAGGAAUAUAGUGAUUCUUCCCACCAUACCCAGUGUCCCGCCCAUACUCCUACCCUUUAACUUCCUCCCUCUCAUAUUCCCGUUCUUAUUUUUAAUAAGAUCUAUUUAACUUUAUACACAUAUGAUUAACUCUAUACUAAGUAAAGAAUUCAACAAAUUGUAUGAAAAAAAUAGUUCCUCAGUCAAGACAAGGACUGUUCAAAGACAUUGCAUCUCAAAGUAUUAAUUUCACUUCUAUAGAUUUCCUUUUAGGUGCUCUAUUAGUUAUCACAAAUCAGGGAGAACUUAUGGUAUCUGUUCUUUUGGGUCUGGCUUAUUUCACUAAGUAUGAUGUUUUUGUUUCAUCCAUUUUGUUGCAAAUGACAGGGUAACAAUUUUUUUUUACCGUUGUGUAGUAUUCCAUGGUGUAUGUAUCCCAUAAUGUCUUUAUCCAAUCUUCAGUUCACAGGCAUUUGGGUUGAUUCCAUGUCUUAGCUAUUGUGAAUUGAGCUGCAGUAAACAUGGGGGUACAGAUAACUCUUUCAUAUGCUGAAUUCAUUUCCCUUGGGUAAAUUCCCAGAAGUGGGAUGGCUGGGUCAUAUGGUUGACCUAUAGUCAGAUUUCUGAGCUAUCUCCAAAGUGUCUUCCACAGUGGCUAAAGCAGUUUACAUUCCCACCAACAGUGGAUUAGGGUACCUUUUUCCCCACAUCCUUGCCAGCAUUUGUUGGUUGUUGAUUUCUGUGUGAAAGCAUUCUGACAGGAAUGGGGUGAAACCUCUUUGUGGUUUUAAUUUACAUUUCCCUGAUGGUUAGUGAUCCUGAGCAUUUUUUCAGCUCUGUUGAACAUUUGGAUUUCCUUUUGAAAAAUGCCUGUUUAAGUCCUCUGCCCAUUUCUUAACUGUGCUGUUUGUUUUGUUGUCGAGUUUCCUAUCUCUUUAUAUAUUCUAGUUAUUAGUCCUUUAUCAGUUGCAUAGUUUGCAAAUAAUUUCUCCCAUUCUGCCAUUGCCUCUUCACUUUGCUGAAUGCUUCUUUUCCAGUGCAGAAGCUUCUCAAUUUGAUGUAACACCAUUUAUUAAUUUUGGCUUCAAUUGCCUGUGCCUCUGGGGACAUUUCCCAAGAAGUCUUUGCCUAUGCCAAUGUCUUGUAGGGUUUCCCCAAUGUUCUCUAAUAAGUUGAUGGUAUUGGGUUGUAGAUUUAGGCCUUUAAUCCAUUUUGAGUGUUUUGUGUGUGUGUGUGUGUGUGUGUGUGUGUAUGUGUGUGUGUUUAAGGUGUAAGGUCCGGAGGGGUCUUGCUUCAUACUUUUGCAUGUGAGGAGAUCCAGUUUUCCCAGCACCAUUUGUUGAAUAGACUGUCCUUGCUCCAGGGAUUGGUUUUAGCUCCUUGGUCAAAUAUAAGUUGGUUGUAGAUGUUUGGAUUGAUUUCUGGUGUUUCUGUUCUGUUCAAUUGGUCUACCCAUCUGUUUUUGUACCAGUAUCAGUCUGUUUUGAUUAUUACUUCCCUGUAGUCAUGUCUUGAAAUCUGAUAUUGUCAUGCCUCACACUUUUUGUUGUAUAAGAUUGCUGUAGCUAUUCAAGGUCUCCUGUGUUUCCAUUUGAAUUUCAGCAUCAUUUUUUCUAGAUCUGAGAAGAAUGUCUGUGGUAUUUUGAGCAUGGAAGAUUUUGAUUGGUAUUGCAUUGAAUAUGUAAAUUGUUUUCGGAAGAAUGGACAUUUUGAUGAUACUGAUUCUUCCAAUCCAUGAGCAUGGAAGAUUUUUCCAUUUUUUGUUAUCCUCUUCUAUUUCAAUCUUUAAUGUUUUGUAAUUCUCAUUGUAGAGAUCUUUGACAUUAUUGGUUAAAGUUAUUCUAAGGUAUUUGAUUUAUUUUGUAGCUAUUGUGAAUGGGAUUGAUCUUAGAAGUUCUUUUUCAGCCUUGGCAUUGUCUGUGCAUACAAAGGAUGUUGAUUUUUAUGUACUGACUUUAUAUCCUGCUACUUUACCAAACUCUUCUAUGAGUUCCAAUAGUGGCUUGGUAGAGUCUUUUGGAUCCCCUGUAUAUAAAAUCAUGUCAUCUUCAAAUAAGGAUAGUUUGACUUCCUCCUUCCCAAUUUGUAUCCUUUGCUAUUCUGUUCCAUUGGUCCAUCCGUUUUUGUACCAGUAUGAGGCUGUUUUGAUAACUGCCCUGUAGUAUAUUUUGAAAUCUUGUAUUGUGUUGCCUCCAGCUUUGUUUUUGUUGUAUAUGAUUGCUUUAGCCAUUUGGGAUCUUCUGUAUUUCCAUAUGAAUUUCAGCAUCAUUUUUUUCUAUAUCUUGGUAUUUUGAUUGGAAUCAUAUUGAAUCUGUAAAUUUCUUUUAGUAGUAUGGACAUUUUGAUGAUAUUGAUUCUUCCAAUCCAUGAACAUGAAAGAUUUUUUGAUUAUUUUGUCUUCUUUUGUUUCUUUCUUUAAUGUUUUAUAAUUCUUAUUGUAGAGAUCUUUGACAUUGUUGGUUAAGUUUAUUCCAAGUUAUUUUAUCUUGUGUGUGUGUGUCUGUGUGGCUAUUGGGAAUGGGACUGACCUUAGAAUUUCUUUCUCAGCUGUGGCAUUGUCUCCGUAUAGAAAGGUUAGUGAUUUUUGUGUGUUGAUUUUAUAUCCUGCCACUUUUUGAAACAAUUCUAUGAGUUCCAUAGUCUCUUAGAGGAAUCUUUGGAUCUCUUAUAUAUAGUAUCAUGUCAUCUGCAAAUAGGGAUAGUUUGACUUCCUCCUUUCCAAUUUGAAUUCCUUUGAUUUCUUUUUCUUGCCUGAUGGCUCUGGCUAAAACUUCCAGGACUAUAUUGAAUAGCAAUGAUAGAGUGGGCAUCCUGUCUGGUUCUGGAUCUCAGUGGGAAUGGUUCCAACUUUUACCCAUUCAAUAAGAUGCUGGCUGUGGGUUUCUCAUAAAUUGCCUUGAUUGAGUGGAGAAAUGUUCCUUCUAUACCCAAAUUGCUGAAAGUUUUCAUCAUGAAAGGGUGUUGUGUUUUAUCAGAUGCUUUCUCUAAGUCUAUUGAGAUAAUCAUAUGGUUUUUGGUCUUCAGUUUGUUAAUGUAUCACAUUGAUUGAUUUAUGAACAUUAAACCAUUCCUGCAUACCAGGGGUAAAUCCCACUUGGUCUGGGUGAAUGAUCUUUCUGAUAUGCUAUUGGAAUUGAUUGGCUUGUAUUUUGUUGAGUAUUUUUGCAUCUAUGUUCAUCAGGGAUAUUAGUCUGUAGUUUUUGUUCUCUGUUUUAUCUUCCUCAGGUUUAGGAAUUAAGGUGAUGCUGGCUUCUUAAAGAGUUUGGGAAGAUUCCCUCCCUUUCAAUUGUUUUUGAAUAAUUUGAGAAUUGGAGUUAGUUCUUCUUUAAAUGUGUGUAAGAAUUCAGCAGUGAAGUUAUCAUUACUGGGCUUUUCUUUUAUUACUGAUUCAAUUUCCAUCAUGGUUAUUGGUCUAUUUAGGCUUUCUAUGUCUUCUUGGCUCAAUUUAGGUAGGCUGUAUGUGUCCAGGAAUCUAUCCAUUUCUUAUGGGUCUCCUGAUUUAUUGGCAUACAGCUCUUUGUAGUAGUAUCUGAUGAUUUUUUAAAUGUCUGGGGUGUCUGUUGGUAAAUUUUCUUUUUCAUUUCUAAUCUCAUUGAUUUGGGUCUUCUCUCUUUUUUUUUGUUGUUAGUUGUUCCAUUGGUGUGUCAAUUUUGUUUUUUUAAAAAAAUCUCUUUGUUUUGAUGAUCUUUUGCAUUUUUUGUUUCAAUUUUAUUUCUUUAAUUUUUAUUAUUUAUUUUCUCCUACUGUUUUUGAGUUUUGUUUGCUAUUGUUUUCCUAGGUCCUUGAGAUGCAUCGAUAGCUCAUUUAUUUGUUGCCUUUCCAAUUUCUUGAUGUAGGCACAAUUGCUAUAAACUUUCCUCUUAACACUGCUUUUGCUGUAUCCCUUAAGUUUUGAUAUGUUGUAUUGUCAUCUUGUUUCCAGAAACUUUUGAUUUCUGUCUUGAUUCCCUUAGUGAUCCAAUGUUCAUUCAGAAGCAUGUUGUUCAGUCUCCAUGUGUUUACAUGUGUUCUAGAGAUUCUUAAGUUGUUGGUUUCUAGCUUCAUCCCAUUGUGAUUAGAGAAAGAUGCAUGUUAUGAUUUUGAAUUUUUGAAUUUGCUGAGACUUGUUUUAUGGCCUAGCAUGUGCUCUUUCCUUGAAAAAGUUCCAUGUACUGGUGAGAAGAAUGUGUAUGCUGCAUCUGUAGGAUGAAAAAUUCUGUGGAGAUCCACUAUGUACAUGGUGUGGGUUAACUCUAUUGUUUCUUUGAUGAUUUUCUAUCUGGUUGAUUUGUUCACUGCUGAAAGUGGAGUACAGAAGUCCCCCAUUACUAUUGUAUUGGAGUCGAUGUCUUCCUGUAAAUCCAUUAACAUUUCUUUUCAAUAGCCAGGUGCCCUGUAACUAGGGGAAUAUAUGUUUAUUAUAAUAAUAUCUGUUGAAUUGAUCGCUUAAUUAUUAUGUAGUGCCCUUGUCUUUUUUAACAGUUUUUAUGUUAAAGUCUAUUUUGUCUGGUAUUAGGAUGGUAACAGCAGCUCUUUUUUUUGGUUUCUGUUAGCAUCAAAUAUCUUUCUAUCCUUUCACUUUUGGUCUGCAUGUAUCUUUGUUGGUUAGAUGUGUUACUUGUAGGCAGCAAAUAGAUGGGUUUUGUUUUUUAAUCCAUUCAGCCAGUCUGUAUCUUUUAACUGGAGAGUUGAGGCCAUUUAUAUUCAAGUAAUGACUUGGACCUGCCAUUUUCCCAUAAAUAUUCCGAUUGCUUACUUUGGAUCUCCUUUGUACUUUUUGUAAUUAUUUUUAUAGAGUGAGAGAGAGAGACAGAGAGAAAGAUCUUCCUUCUGUUGGUUCACUCCCCAUAUGGCCGCCAUGGCCAGAACUACGCAGAUCUGAAACCAGGAGCCAGGUGCUUCUCCUGGUCUCCCAUGCGGGUGCAGGGCCCAAACACUUGGGCCCUCCUCCACUGCCUUUCCGGGCCAUAGCAGAGAGCUGGACUGGAAGAGGAGAAACUGGGACCAGAACCUGGUGCCUAUAUGGGAUGCCAGCACCGCAGGUGGAGGAUUAGCCAAGUGAGCCACAGCACCAGUUCCCUGUACUUUUUUUUUUUUUUUAAUUUAUUCAAUUUUUUGAAAGAAAGAGUUAGAGAGAAGCAGAGGCAGUUAGGGAGAGGUCUUCCAUCUGCUUGUUCAAUCCCCAGAUGGCCACAAUGGCUGGAGCUGUGUUGUUCUGUGAAGGCAGGAGCCAGGAACUUCUUCCAGUCUCCCAUGUGGGUGCAGGGGCCCAAGGACCUGGGCCAUCUUCUACUGCUUUCCCAGGCUUUAGCAGAGAGCUGGAUUGGAAGUGGAGCAGCCAGGACUUGAACUGGAAACCAUAUGGGAUACUGGCAUUGCAGGUGGCAGCUUUACCUGCUAUGCCACAGCACAGAUCCCCACCUUUGUAUUUUUACUGGGAGAUUUUCUGCCUUCACCUUCUUUCAUAGUGAUGACCAGGUUUCUGUGUGUAGGACAUCCUUAAAUUUUUUGUAAGGCUAGAGAAGUGGUGACAAAUUCUUUCAACUUCUGUUAUGAAAGGUCUUUAUUUCGCCUUCAUUCCUAAACAAUAGCUUUGUAGGAUACAGUAUUCUGGGUUGAUAGUUUUUUUCUCCUAAGACUUGGAAUAUAUCUCGCCAUUUUCUCCUAGCAUGUAGAGUUUCUGAUGAGAAGUCAGCUGUCUCAUUUGAGAUCCUCUGAAACUAAUCUGGCAUCUCUUGCGCACACUUCAGAAUCUUUUAUGUCUUACUGUGGAAAGUUUGACUACAAUGUGUCAUGGUGAAUGAAGUUCUUUUCCGGUCAUGUCUAUUAGGAGUUCUAUGUGCUUCCUGUAUUCAGAAUUCCUUCUCCAAAUUAGCGAGUUUUUUUGUCAUUAUUUCACUAAAAAGGCCUUCUAAUUGAUUCUCUUUCCAUGCCUUCAGGACCUCCUGUGAGCUGCAUGUUGGGUCAUUUGAUAGUAUCCUAUAAAUCUCUAACACUGUUUUUUAGUUUUCUUAUUUCUUCUUUUGGUCCAACUUUAAUAUUUCCAGAGACUUAUCUUCUAUUUCAGAUAUUCUUUCUUCGGCCUCACUGAGUCUGUUCUUAAAGCUUUCCACUGUAUUUUUUUUAUUUGUUUGAUUGAAUUCUUGAUUUCCAAUACUUUGAUUUCUCUUAAAAGCUCAAUUUUGUGGAGAUUUUCAUUGUUGUCAUGUAUGAAUUGAUGAAUUGGCUCCUGAUUACUUCUAAGUAAUCCUAUGAUCAAAUUUUUGAAUGGCUUCUUGUAUUUCAUCAAUCUUUUCAACUUCACAUUCUAGUGUUGUGUUCUAGUGUUGUGUUCUUUUGGGGGUGUCAACUUGUCUUCCUUAUUCUUGUUUCUUGAAUAUCUACAUUUAUCACUAGGCAUUUAUGAUACUUGUUGGUUCCCCCACCCCCUCCCCUUGUGAUGGCUUUUAUCUUUGAAGUAUGCCUCGGUGGCUUAGUGGAGUUCUGCUCUUUCAGUGAAUAUCCAGAGGUGUGUGCUGGGUGUGGCCAGGGAGCUCUGUUCAGUGCUCCAGGGUGAUGGAAGUGUCUAAGGUGAUGCCCAAGUUGGGUGUGGUAAUUUUUAUUUUAAUUAGAGAGGUUUGUUCUGCUCUGUUGGCAUAGUCUCACGCCAAGUUCCUCUCCUCAUAGGAGACCAAUGCCUGAGCGCUAGCCCAAGUGGGAACAAUUUUCAUCUGUACUUCCACGAGAACCACACAAAGGAUCCGUGCAUUCCUCAUUGUGAACACGGAUCCUACAGCAAUGACCCUCACCAGGUAAUCAGGUAGCUCUGAGCAUGUGGAUCCAUCCAUAGAGACUGCCUAAAGUCUCAACCACACCCUGCAUCCUCUCAUGCAGCCAGUGUCUUGGCUGUCCCAGCACACAAGGCUCCCACAGUCAUGAGCUCCCAGCUCCUUCAAUUCUCCCAGCCAGAAUCGGGCAUCUCUUCUCAGCUGGUUGCUGGGAACAUGGACAUGAGCUGGCACAGCUGUUAAUGUAUGUUGAACAUGGUGCCCACACUCUCUUUAGCUAGUCACAGGAUGCAGGUGCUGGGUGGUUGCGGUGAAACUUGGCCACCCCCUCCCCUUUUUCCCUCUAGGUUGGCAAGUACACUGUCCCCCACAGGGCUCCAAGCUGGAUUCAUGCUAGGCUCUUCCCACAGCUUUGUUGUCAGUGACUUGGGCUGCUACAGUCUGGUCUCACCUCACUCCAAAGCUGAUGUGGUGUUUGAGGCUUUCAGCUGCUGGGGUCAUGAGUUGUGCAUUUCCACACCAUCCACAUAGGUCCAUGGUGUCCCUCUAGUUUAUGUUGUUUCCUCUUCCAUUUUUUCCUAAACUCUUCCCUGAGACUGAUCUCUCUGCACUUUAUUUAAACUACCUUCCCGUAGACUAGAGCAGUUAAGUUCCCUCCAUAUUCUGUCAUCUUGACUGUGGUGACUUUUUUUUUUUUUUUUUUUUGACAGGCAGAGUGGACAGUGAGAGAGAGAGACAGAGAAAGGUCUUCCUUUUGCUGUUGGUUCACCCUGCAAUGGCUGCUGCGGCCAGCGCGCUGUGGCCGGCGUACCGCGCUGAUCCGAAGGCAGGAGCCAGGUACUUAUCCUGGUCUCCCAUGGGGUGCAGGGCCCAAGCACUUGGGCCAUCCUCCACUGCACUCCCUGACCACAGCAGAGAGCUGGCCUGGAAGAGGGGCAACCGGGACAGAAUCCGGUGCCCCGACCGGGACUAGAACCCGGUGUGCCGGCGCCGCAAGGCGGAGGAUUAGCCUAGUGAGCCGCGGCACCGGCCUCUGGUGACUUCUUACUUUUACUGGUUCUUUUGUAUAAACAGAGUUUCUUAUGAAGGAUGCUGAAAUCCCUCCUAACUUUCUGUAUUAAAGGUCAUUGACAGAGUGUUGAAAAACUUGUUAGCAGUUCUUGCUGAGUGCAACUACCAGAGAAAGGCAACCCUCCACCCCAGUUUGAACCACUACAGCAAUUUCCUCUAUCUUCAAAAUGUUUAGGAUGUCUUUCAAGGUCUAAAGAAAUCAUCUGAUAAAGAAUUCCAUCCCAACUCCUUUAGAACUUAACCUGUACUACUCAUUUGGUACUCAAAUGCCUUACCUUAGUGCUUUUUUUUUUUUUUU